rnacentral:tRNA from 1 species
GGCUUCAUAGCUCAGUGGUAGAGCGUUUGCACCGGAAUCGUAAAGGUCAUGGGUUCGAAUCCCGUUGGAGCCU